GCGCACGGGUGAGUAACACGUAUCCAACCUACCGGUUAUUCCGGGAUAGCCUUUCGAAAGAAAGAUUAAUACCGGAUAGUAUAACGAGAAGGCAUCUUUUUGUUAUUAAAGAAUUUCGAUAACCGAUGGGGAUGCGUUCCAUUAGUUUGUUGGCGGGGUAACGGCCCACCAAGACAUCGAUGGAUAGGGGUUCUGAGAGGAAGGUCCCCCACAUUGGAACUGAGACACGGUCCAAACUCCUACGGGAGGCAGCAGUGAGGAAUAUUGGUCAAUGGACGAGAGUCUGAACCAGCCAAGUAGCGUGAAGGAUGACUGCCCUAUGGGUUGUAAACUUCUUUUAUAUGGGAAUAAAGUGAGCCACGUGUGGCUUUUUGUAUGUACCAUACGAAUAAGGAUCGGCUAACUCCGUGCCAGCAGCCGCGGUAAUACGGAGGAUCCGAGCGUUAUCCGGAUUUAUUGGGUUUAAAGGGAGCGUAGGCGGACUAUUAAGUCAGCUGUGAAAGUUUGCGGCUCAACCGUAAAAUUGCAGUUGAUACUGGUCGUCUUGAGUGCAGUAGAGGUAGGCGGAAUUCGUGGUGUAGCGGUGAAAUGCUUAGAUAUCAC
rnacentral:rRNA from 1 species